GCCGAGGUGGCGGAACAGGCAGACGCGACGGACUUAAAAUCCGUUUCCCCUCACAGGGAGUAGGGGUUCGAUUCCCCUCCUCGGCA
rnacentral:tRNA from 1 species